rnacentral:rRNA from 1 species
CUACACGACCGUACCGCAAACCGACACUGGUGCGCGAGAUGAGUAUUCUAAGGCGCUUGAGAGAACUCAGGAGAAGGAACUCGGCAAAUUGACACCGUAACUUCGGAAGAAGGUGUGCCUUUAGUAGGUGAACCUGUACAAGGGGAGCCCAAUGAGGUUGCAAAAAAUCGGUGGCUGCGACUGUUUAAUAAAAACACAGCACUCUGCAAACACGAAAGUGGACGUAUAGGGUGUGACGCCUGCCCGGUGCUGGAAGAUUAAAUGAUGGGGUGCAAGCUCUUGAUUGAAGUCCCAGUAAACGGCGGCCGUAACAAUAACGGUCCUAAGGUAGCGAAAUUCCUUGUCGGGUAAGUUCCGACCUGCACGAAUGGCGUAACGAUGGCCACACUGUCUCCUCCUGAGACUCAGCGAAGUUGAAAUGUUUGUGAUGAUGUAAUCUCCCCGCGGAAAGACGGAAAGACCCCAUGAACCUUUACUGUAGCUUUGUAUUGGACUUUGAACAGAUCUGUGUAGGAUAGGUGGGAGGCUUUGAAGUGUGGUCGCUAGAUCGCAUGGAGCCAACGUUGAAAUACCACCCUGGUGUGUUUGAGGUUCUAACCUAGGCCCGUAAUCCGGGUCGGGGACAGUGCAUGGUAGGCAGUUUGACUGGGGCGGUCUCCUCCCAAAGCGUAACGGAGGAGUUCGAAGGUACGCUAGGUACGGUCGGACAUCGUGCUAAUAGUGCAAUGGCAUAAGCGUGCUUAACUGCGAGACUGACAAGUCGAGCAGAUGCGAAAGCAGGACAUAGUGAUUCGGUGGUUCUGUAUGGAAGGGCCAUCGCUCAACGGAUAAAAGGUACUCUGGGGAUAACAGGCUGAUGCCGCCCAAGAGUUCAUAUCGACGGCGGUGUUUGGCACCUCGAUGUCGGCUCAUCUCAUCCUGGGGCUGUAGCCGGUCCCAAGGGUAUGGCUGUUCGCCAUUUAAAGAGGUACGUGAGCUGGGUUUAAAACGUCGUGAGACAGUUUGGUCCCUAUCUUCCGUGGGCGCUGCAGAUUUGAGGAAGCCUGCUCCUAGUACGAGAGGACCGGAGUGGACACACCUCUGGUGUAUCGGUUGUCACGCCAGUGGCAUUGCCGAGUAGCUAUGUGUGGAAGAGAUAACCGCUGAAAGCAUCUAAGCGGGAAACUCGUUUCAAGUUGAGAUCUGCCGGGGCCUUGAGCCCCCUAAAGAGUCGUUCAAGACCAGGACGUUGAUAGGUCGGGUGUGGAAGCGCAGUAAUGCGUUAAGCUAACCGAUACUAAUUGCUCGUGCGGCUUGACC